rnacentral:lncRNA from 1 species
CAGUUGGCGGGAGGUCAGGUGAAUAUGUUGGAUGAGGCAAAAAUUCAUAGCCCAAUUUGUUCAACUUUUGAAGCGUUGGUUGUGCAAUGUGUGGUUGGGUGUUGUCAUGGAGAAGAAUUGGGCCCUAUUUGUUGACCAAUGCCGGCUGCAGGCUUUGCGGUUUUCAGUGGAUCUCUUUGAUUUGCUGAGCAUACUUGUCAGAUGUGAUAGUUUUGCAGGGAUUCAGAAAGCUGUCGUGGAUCAGAUCGGCAGCAGACCAUC